CCGCCAUGGCCUGUUGCUGCCACCCUGGCGCCGAGAGCUCAGUGAUGCCGCCCUGUCCACCCCGACUUGGGACAGCCGACUCCAAGAAUCAUGCUACGACACUCGGUUCAGCUAGGAGGUGAUAUUAAAUGCAAUCAAAAAUCUUGCCACUAAUGAAGGUGUAUAUUCAGCCCCAGCUGGACCAGUGAGAUUAGUAGAGAAUUGGGAGAGGCUCAAAUCAGCAUCCUUGCACAUGGUCAUCAAAUCAUUGUGAAGUCUUGAUUCCUGGGCAGCCAGAAACCUUGUCAUUGGUCAAGAGCAACAUUAAGACCUGCCUGUCACUUAUACUGAGACUUUCUGCCCAGUGGGUUCACCAGAGAGCCAGAAUGAAUUGCCAUUGCCUUGGACAUCCUUGGGAGGAAGUUGAGAAGCCUUGGUAAGUGGUCAGUGGUUUUGGUAGGGUUCCCCAGUUGAUGGUGGAGAAGAGAAGGAAAAGUCGCCUGGAUGCAGCACUUCCCUUCUUUCUUCAACACUCAGUAAGUACUUACUAACUGUCAGGGACUGUUCUAGAUAUUAAUGAAGUUCUGGCUCAUGGAACUUUCGUUCUUGUAAGGGUAGAUAAAGGAAUAAAUAAACUAAUAAAUGUAUAAUGUGGCAUAAGUGUUAUAUCAGAUUUUUUUUCAUUGUGUUAUGAAAAAUUACAUUAAAAAUGGCUGGGUUAGACUAAACAACAUCUUGUGUUUCUCCACUCUUCUCAUUCUGCCUUUUACUUCCUCUCUGCAUGAUGUUGGCCAAUUUUGUUCCCAUUGCUGAACCUCAAUUUUCAAUCAGUAGAAUGAGGGGUUUAUGUAACUUUCUUGAAGAUCCUUCCAGCUUUGACCUUUUUGGAGUCUCUCAAUGCAAUGGAGGAUGACCAAGCUGAGUGUGGAGAGGGUCAUAGAUAAUCAAAACAUUUUUUUUCCUCUUCGUAACCCAUCACGAGGCUGAACUGUGAAGGAUGUCUUUGAAAAGCAUUUUAGAGAGGUCACCAGAUCUUCCAUGUGAGUGAACAUACAGCAGAAGAGGAGAGCCCUUUCAGAGAUUAAGGUGAACAUUAGAAACACCUUGUCAAGUUCUCAUCACGAAUAUCAUUGGAUUUGUUAUUGGAAUGACAUUGAAUUUCUAGAUUAAUUUGGGAAGAGCUAUCGUCUUUAUAAUCUUCCCAUACAUGAAUGUGCUUCUCCUCUCUGCUGCCUCUUGAGCUGCCAGGCAUUGUGCUGGGUGAUGGGGAUAUGGAGACGAAAUAGACACAGUCCCUGCCCUCAAGGAGUUCCCAGUCUAGUGAGAGAGAUCAACAAGUACACAGAUAAUUACAACAGUAUGGUAUGCUCUACAAUAGAGGUAUGUACAAGGCACUAUGGGGUUCAGAAGAGAAAUCAUUUGACUGGGUCUGGAGAUGUCAGAGGUCAGAGGAACUGAUUCUUAAGUUGAGUGUUAAAAGAAAUAAAGGUUGACCAGGCAGAAACAGAGGGAAGAAUCUUCUACACAAAGGCAUGGACAUUGGAAAUAGAAUGAUGUGUUGGAGGAACUGUAAAUAAUAUAAAUGAGGCUGGAAAUGUUGGCCAGAUAUAGAUCCUUAUAUAAUAUUCCAUAGAAUUUGGAUUUCAUUAUGAGGGUAAAGGGGAGACUUUGCAAAGUUUUAAGAAGUUUAAGAGUUUUGAAGGUCACUCUGGUGGUAGUGUGGAGUAUGUUCUGGAAGACUCAGGAAUCUGGACAGGGAGAUUAGUUAUAAUUAUUAAGAUGAGAAAUGAUCUAAGGCAGAAGGAGUGGGAGUGGACAAAAGGGAAUGUAUUUAAGAGGUUAUAAAAAUGCAGACGUAAUAGAACUUAGGGGAAAAUUAGGGUGAUGGAGAGGGAAAAGUCAAAGCUUUCUGACUUGGCAAAUGUGCAUCCCCCUACUCUUACCCCUGGCCUUGAUGAAAGAUCCUCUCAUGUUCUUUAGAUGGAUGCGAGUGAUGGUUGAUAUGUUAAUGGUUUCGUUUGGACCAGGGCUUGGAUGCACAGGUUUUGCAAGAUUUUUUCUUAGGGAGAGCCAUAUGAGAAAUACUGGUUCUCAGGAAGCCAUCUGAACAGCAACAGACCUAUUAUAGUGUUCUUAAGUUCAGGUUCCUAAGUUCCUGUUCCUUCUCGUCAGUGACAUCCUUACUCUCCCUGCUACAUGUCUCCCAAGGUUGUUUUAUCAAAAGUGGAUGCUUACUUUUCAGUGGCUGUUUUAUACCUAAGAUCUACUCAGAAAAGAGAGGAUCUUAGUUGCUAUUGGCUCAACUGUUUUAUUUUGCUUAGGGAUUUGAAGAUGUUUAUGACUAACCAUCCAAGCAAAAAAUAUAUUCAAUAAUUAAAAACCUAAACAUACCUAGUAUUUAUUUUCUCUUCUCAAAGCAAUGUUCUUUGGGAAAUUCUCCAUAUAAGACUCAGAAUAUUGACCCUGGGGAUUCAGAGAAUGAGCUUUCUGUGACUAGAAUGAAAAGUAGAGAUAUUAUAUUUAAGUAGAACAGGAUUUUUCAGAGGCUCUUUUACACCUGGCCAGCCUGGAGAACAGCAGGAGGAGGUAAGGCUGGGAGAGGGAACCCUGAGCAGGAUAACAAAGCAGUACAGUAAGAGUGUGGGCCUUGGGACUAGACAGCCCUGGGAUCAAAACUCUGUUCUGACACAAGCAGUGUAGUCUUGAUCAUGAUUUUUCACCUCUCUGGGACUUUGUUUCCUCUUAUGUAAAAUACAGAUAAUAAUAGUAUGUGUUUGCAACAAUUUGGGUGGGGAAAGGUAAGGAUUUAAUAGGACUAUUUAUAUUAAUUGUUUAGAACAGGCCUAGAAUAUGCUGAAUGAUAAAUAAACUAUUGUUGGUACUGAAAAUGGUGUUGACCAUGACAAGGAUUAAAAGAAUAUAGUUGACUAGGGAUGCUUAUAUUUUGAGUAGUCCCUGAGGAUGUUGAGGUUAAGAAAGAAAGAAAAGCUGACCUCAAGGUUUUUAAUGGUAUGCUAGUGUGAAGUCACUUCUAUGCAUUUUUUUCUCUUUGCCAGGUAGGGUGGGAAACUAGAUGGAGCCUUUAGUCCAAGUCCAUGCCUUUAUCACUAAUCUACUGUUUUUGCUCCUAGUUCCAAAUAGAAAGCUGUUGAAAAGUUGUUGCAUUAAGCCUGAAUAAAAGUUAUCAUAAAAACAUAGAAAAAAUACUUUGGAGUUGGUCAAAGCUGAAUUUGAAACCUGCAGUAAUCUAAGCCAUGUUACUUAACCUCAUUGAACCUCAGUUUCUUCAUCUGUAAUAUAAUAAUUAAUUUGCACAGUUCCAUGAGGAUAUUUGUAAAGUGUAUGUUAUAAACACUAUAAAUCACAUCUAUUAUUAUUAUUGUUAGUUCUUGGGACACUCACCAUGUGACAGAAACAACAACAUGCCCUGGUGACUGGGAGGACUCAGGCUUCUCUUCAUGGAUCCAGCAGCAACCUGGAGGGGUGCUUCUCCGAAGAAAUCCUACUCGGAUGGAUAUAAUACAACCUGCUAAGUGUCCUAGCACUUAUCAGAUUGUAUUAUCAUUGUCCGUGUCUAUGGCUCUCGACUACCAGACUCUAAGUUCCUUAAGGGCAAGGACAGUGCCUUAUUCAUCUUUGUAUUCCCAGUGCCUAACCAGUGCACAUUGUAGGCCUCAUUAAAUGUUUGUUGAAUGAAAAAAUGAAUCAUCAACAGACAUUAAUUGGGCGCCUGCUCUGUGAUCUCCAAGGGCUCAGCUUGUCCCCGCCUGUUGUCUACAACGUCCAAGCUCUCUUCAGAAUGUUUACUCCUGAAACUUACUCCUAUUUUCUAAUUCUUUUUACUGGGGACCUUUCUGUCUAGUACAAGGAUAGCAGAUGGACUUCAUCUCAAGUGCCAUCUCCAAUUGAUUCAGAGUGCCAGCCUGGAAUAUGUGUUAAAAUGGAUUCUGAAGCCAGGUUCCAGCUCAGUGCGAAAGACGGUUAUAACUGAUUAGUGUUGUCUGUAGAGGGUGGGACAAGGGGGAGUAGCUGAACGUGUGUCACACGUAUGUCAUAUUUAAUAUUGUGUCUUCCAUGAAGUACACCAUUUCUAUGCCUGCAUUUUAGUCUUGGCUACUUGCAGAUGUUGCAUGGCUGCUGCUGCUUCUAAAACUGCUGCCAGUUGCUCCUUGGCUAUGACCAGAGUGAUCAUUGCCUGAUCAGGAACCUCAUCCUCACAGUCUGGGGUUUGCUACUGUGGCUGGUACUCACAGUCUUCCCCUUUCAACUUUACCCCAGCUAUACCCCUACCUGAAUUUACAGGUAGGCCUCUGCUUUCCUGAUCACCACUCACCAGGCUCUUAUUUCCUUACUCUUAUUUGGUGUGCUUAGUCAUUACUGCUCCACUUUCUGUUUACAGAUAUGCCAACUAGAAUACAGGUUAAACUACUCCUUCAAGGCCCCACAGUGAAUUAUAUAAACUCCCUUUUAAUAUGGGAGAAAAUUGAGUGUGUUUUCAGACCAUGAGCAGGAGGAACUGAGAAGGGAGUCUUUGUAGAUAUAGGAGAGAGAGAUGAUAACAGAUGGAAUAAGAGCCUAAGAGAUGAUUCAGGUGAGGAUGGGAAAGUGAAACUUACGGCUCUAGAACACAGGUGGAUAAAAAGAACUACCUCUUCACUAGAGCAUAGAGAUAGGGAUAGGAUUAAGGAAGGGAAUUUCACAUGGGUGGUGAAGAUUAGAAAUUGCAGAGGUGAAUGACAGAGAGGAAGCUGACCAGGGUCAAAAAAACAAAACAAAACAGUUUGCUGGAGUAGGAUGACCAGAGGGGUUUGGGUAUGAACCAGUCUCUAAGGAAUAUAUAGGCCAAAAGGCUGGCUAGAGUGUGGACAUUAACAGGAGAGCUUAUGGUAUUAAAGUGAGAAAUUAGUUUGAAACUGGAUUAGAAAUUGUCAGAAAAUACAGUCUUGGGUCAUUGCCACAAAUACCAUUUGGGUACCUGGAGCUAACCUUAACUGAUUGAGGGGUUGACAGCAAGAGAGGAAUUACAUAGAAAUGGAUUUGACGAUCCAGGCUGGGUAGGGUAGGAAGUAAGGUCAGCAAGGAGAUCAAGAUGUGAAAUCAAGAUGGGUUUCAGAUAAUUGGGAAACUGGCAUGAUGGGAGCUGUGAUCAGAGAGUAUGUUUUGGAAUGUUAUGAUUCCAGAAGUAUAGUGGUCAAGAACCUAUGAAGCUAGGAUGUCAGAUGGUCAUUUACAUGGCUAUCGAAGUAACCCAGGAUUAUAACAGAAGGUGGGCUGAGAACAAACACUAUGGGGCAGGUAUAAAAGGCUUCAGUGACUGUAAAGAAUUAUCUGGAGGUUGACACAUAACAACUGUGUAAAUGCAAGAGAGGAGGAGCUGUAGUUGUCUAGUAGUAUGAGCCUCAGAAGAGUGGUGUGGUUGUUAUAAGAUGCAAAAGCAGUGGUUUGCACAUUGCACUGAGGUGUUGGCUGGCAGAAUGCCCAGGUAAAAUGACCCUCCACCUCUUUUACUGAGUGCUUGCUCUGUACCUGGCACCUUGCUAUGUGCUAUACAUUUACUCCUUCUGGGUCUGUCACAUUUCAGGUGUGGGAGAAUGAGCAACAAUCCUUGGUGAGGACAGCUAGGGGAGCUGCUGGCCCUUAGAGCAGUGGGCUGGACUCCUGUGGCCAUCUCCUAACUCCUUUGAAAGAGCAGUGGGCUGGUCAGCUUGAAAUGGCAUGAAAAGAUUUCCUUUAAAUCAAAAUUUUCCCUUGACGUUGAACUAAGUUCACUACAUAGUACAAGCUUUUGUUGACUGUAUUCCAUGAUACACUUUAGCUUCUAAGUCUCUGACUUGAGCUAGUAUUGCCCUUAAAAGAAACUAGGCAUAGUACUUUAAAAACACACAUGUUAAUUAACUAGAACAAGACAUAGCCCUAUUAAUUAUUUAAUUCAGCUUUUAAGAUAAAGGUGGACAAAAGAAAGCUUGUAUCAAUCAGUGAAUAACAAAACUACUUUGUAAAGUCAUUCUAGGGUUAGGAUACAUCCAGUUUAAUGGCCCAUAUUGUAGAUGUUCUCUGUACUGUUGGGGAGGAGGUUUGGAAGUUGAUGCAGAGAGAUUGCCUUAAGGGCAGGAGGGUAAAGCUUAGGAGAAGAGAUUUUCUCUGAACCCUCUGACAUUGCAUGCAGACAUUUUUCUUGUAAGUACAUUUUCUUGGGGAGAGGGUUCAUGGCUUCCAUUACAUUCUUCAAACGAGUCAAUAUUCCAACAGUGGUUUAAGAACCACUGUGUUAGAGUUACUAGGCCCUGAGACAGUCUAUGUCCUCCUAUGGGGGCUGGUUUAUAUUUAUUCCCCAGCAGGAGAAGCUAGUAGAAGACUUCACAUGAGGGUGAAAAAAGGGAAGAAGCAACAGAGGAUGACUACAGCCUCUCUUCAUCUCAGCUUCACAAAGCAUCACUCAACAAAAGGAACACAGGCUACCUACUUGCAACACCUCCCAUCUGGGAUGAGCUUUAUUGUGAAUAAGUGAAGAAAACCUUAGGCAUGCUACAAUAUCUAAAAUAAAAGGAAGAGCUGCUUUGGAGAAAGGCUUUGAAAGAUUCUUUUAUGGAAGAGAUUUAGAAGAAGGGAAACUUCCAAUUACAUAAGGUAUUCAUCUGCAGGGAUUCCAGUACAUGAAGGAGCAAGAGGACAGGUAUCCAGUGGACAACAGUGUGACCUUUUGCGUGAAGAUAACAACUGAAAAGAUCAUGGGUUUGACUGGACUGGUUGGACUUGUUUGUUUAUUGUUGUUGUUAAUAAAAAUGCUUUGCUCAAUGAUAAAACUAACAGACAAUCAUUGUUAAAAAAAAUAAGAUGAUAAGUUUAAAUUAAAAAGUAGAGAACACUUAUAAUUUUAUAACCUAGAAAACAAUAACUAGUAACAUUUGAGUGUAUGUCCUUUCAGUCUUUAUAAAAAACACAUUUUUAAAACAAUUGACAUCAUACUGUAUGUAUUGUUUUAUUCUAAAUCUUUUUUCUCUUGGAAUAGCAUGAGCAUAUUUCCACAUCAUUAAUAUUCUUUGAAAACACAAUAUUAAAAGCUAUAUAGUAUUAUUUCAUAUGGAUCUAACAAAAUUUUAUUAGAUGACCUCAUGUUGUUGGACAUUUUGGAUGUUACCAACUUUGCCUAUAAAAUUAAAAUGUAGUGAACUUCAUUGUGUAUUAAUCUUUGUGUGUACCUCUAUUUCUUUAGAAUAAAUUCCUAGAAUUGGAAUUUCUGGGUUGAACAAUGGAGCAUUUCUAGGGCACCUAAUAGGUAUUGCUGGAUUCUCCUCAGUACAGUUGGACAAACUACAUUACCAUCAGUAGUGUAUGAAUGUGAAUACUGCUCCAUAUAAUCCCUAAAUCAUGGCCUUUCUCUCUUUUUGUAAAUCUCUGCAAAUUUAAUAAGUAAAAAAUAUCCUUUUAUUGCUUUUAAAAUUUUAAUUCUUUUUAAUUUACAUACAGUAAAAUUCACUCUUUAUGGUAUAUGGUUCUAUGGGUUUUGACAAAUGCAUAGAGUCAUGUAUCUACCACCCUAGUACCAUACAGAUCAGUUCAAGCACCCUAAUAAUUUCUCUGGACAGCCCUUUUGUAGUCUACCCCUUGCUCCAUGUCCAAACCCUACAAAUCACUGGUUUGUUCUCCAUUCCUAUGGUUUUGACUUCUCCAGAAUGUCAUAUGAAUGGAAUUAUGUAAUAUGUACCCUUUUUGGUCUGACUUCUUCCACUUAGUAAAAUGCAUUUAAGCGUCCUCCAUGUUCUUACAAGAAUCAAUAGUUCAUUUCUGUGUAUUGCUGAGUAGUAUUUCACUGUGUGGAUGUACCAGAUUUUUAUCUUUGUUGGUUGAUGGAAAUGUUAGAUGUUUCCAGUUUUUCAUGUAUGAAUAAAAUUGUUAUAAACUUUCAUUUACAA